rnacentral:misc_RNA from 1 species
GAUGAAGAACGCAGCGAAAUGCGAUACGUAAUGUGAAUUGCAAAUUCAGUGAAUCAUCGAGUCUUUGAACGCACAUUGCGCCCCCUGGUAUUCCGGGGGGCAUGCCUGUCCGAGCGUCAUUACAACCCUCAAGCUCAGCUUGGUGUUGGGCCCCGCCGCCCCGGCGGGCCCUAAAGUCAGUGGCGGUGCCGUCCGGCUCCGAGCGUAGUAAUUCUUCUCGCUCUGGAGGUCCGGUCGUGUGCUCGCCAGCAACCCCCAAUUUUUUUCAGGUUGACCUCGGAUCAGGUAGGGAUACCCGCUGAACUUAAGCGUAUCAAUAAGCGGAGGA